CUGCCUCUUCCUUCUGAGUGCUGAGAUUAAAGACUGCGCAUUCCUCAGGAGAAGGAGUUAAAGUGUGUCCAACCCACAUAAGACACUCCAUGCAUCAGAGAUAAUUUGAUGCCAGAUUCAGAUUGUGAGAAUCCAGGAGAAGACGAGGCCCAGCAUCACAACAGGCUUAGACACUUGUUUAAAAUAGCUUGUCUCUGCCUUAGCUAAUCAGCCGAUGCUUUGGGCUCCUUUGGUACACAAAAAAGACUUGGAGAUAUGCAGCUCCAGCAGUCUGCCUUUCCCUGUGGCUACUGAAGAAUCACUAGGCAAGGGCUUAUAGUUCAAGUGAACUGUCAGUUCACGCUUGUUAUGAUUUGAAUAUGACAUGUCCCCACAGGCUCAGCUGAUGCACUAUUUUGGAAGAUUUGGGAAAUAUUAGGAGGAAGGGCCUGGUUAGAGGAAGUGGGUUGUGCGUGUGGGGGCUUCGAAGAGUGUCUUAUCCCUGGGUUCUUCUUGUCUUUAUUUUCCUAAUGUCUAUCAUGAGCUGAACAUGCUUUACCACGUGCACUCCUCCAUGAUGUUCAGCUUCCCCACAGGCCAGAAGCAACAGAGCCAAGUGACGACAGUGAGCUGAAACCCCGGAGACCGUGAGCAUAACUAGUCUUCUUCCUUAUACUGUUAACCUCAGGUCAUCACAACAACAAAGAACUGCCUGACAUGGACUUCAGAGCGCAUUCCCAAGUCAGCCACCCUCUCUGCCUGGGAAAUAUUUUGCAGAACUGUUUCAAGUGAUUAUAUUUUACUUUUCAAAAACCAUUAUAUUUUACCAUGUUUUAUUAUGACGUUUUUCUACUUCUAUGGUUAUACUUUAUUAUUUUUACUACUAUCUCUACUGUAAAAGAAUCAUAAAACUUAACUGCAUACUGCAAUAAAUGAAUGGUAUUCAUUUACAAAUAAA